UACAGAGGGGGCAAGCGUUAUUCGGAAUUAUUGGGCGUAAAGGGCGCGUAGGCGGCUUGGCAAGUGGAAGGUGAAAUCCCUCGGCUUAACCGGGGAACUGCGUCUGAUACUGGAUGGCUUGAGUUCGGGAGAGGGAUGCGGAAUUCCAGGUGUAGCGGUGAAAUGCGUAGAUAUCUGGAGGAACACCGGUGGCGAAGGCGGCAUCCUGGACCGAUACUGACGCUGAGGAGCGAAAGCCAGGGGAGCAAACGGG
rnacentral:rRNA from 1 species